rnacentral:lncRNA from 1 species
UGCUCCUGAACCACCAGCUUCAGCAAGCCACUUCUCACCCUUGCAAGACUGUCACAACUCCAGGCACCGGGAAUCUGGAAAGAGCACCAAACCAGUGGUUGGGGAACCACUGGACACCGGGGAUGCUAGAACACUACAUCUGGAGCCAACUUGCAAAUAACUACAAGGUCCAGAGGCUGAGGCUGAGGGACAGAGCGGACCUCCAGAAUCCGUGCAUUGAGCUAAGGAUGGAAGAGAGGGCGUACACGGAGUCUCUUAGCUAUGAUAUGAGAAGGAGAGGCACCAUUCACAAGCCCACUCUUCUGGGGCUCCCCUUAGGAAUGGAAGCCUUCCUCUUACGAACCCCAAUAGGAGCCUCUCUCUGACCUCUGCCUACAGUUACUAUUCACCAGGGAUCCAUGUGCUACCUGGACAAGAGACAAGCAAGGGCAGAUUUCAUUUCUGCCUCUUACCAGUUAGUUAUAUAGCUCUGAACAAGUCAGAAGAUAACCAAAGAACUGACCAGGGGCCCCAUCAGGACUAACAGGGCUGCUACAUGCAGGCGUGGGCACACGUCCUCAGUUACUUUAACUGUGGGCAUUUUUUAUCCUGUUUGUUCCGAAUUCCAGGAGCAAUGCUCCAAAUGACCUCAGGGACUAUCCUGAAUGCAUCUAGGGCUGAGCAUGUUGGGGGAAUUGGUCAUCUCUGCAGCUCUGCCUGGGCUCAGACCAGAUCCAAGGUCGUGAGGGUAGACGUGCAGGUGGGAGUGGGGGCUGCCGUGGGCUAGUGGCUGUGGGAGUGGGGAGUUGGCUCCACGUCCCCCCACGUGGGAGGUUGCCUGGAUCUCAGGCAGUCCUGCCUCUCUGGUUAGGGCUUCCCGGCUUUUGCGGCUGUCCUCAGGGGCAAGCUAUUUUAGGUAGCAGUCAAAAUAAAACUGAGAUUAACCCAGAA